rnacentral:antisense_RNA from 1 species
CUUUUUGCUCACCCCACCUGGUACUCCAUGUCGUAGCUGGGCAGGAUGAUCCGCCCGUGCUUCCACUCGCCGCCCUGGUCCUCGCGGAUGACCCACAGCAGCUUGCUCUCCUGGCUGGCUUCCCGCACCACCUGCAGCGCCACCCCGCGGCCGCCUGUGGCCUGUUAUCCAGUGACGGAGAAUGAGACAGCUAUAAAGAUACCAGCCACUGAACAUUCCAUCAAGGGAUCCCAGAAAAGACACAUCCCUCCAUUACUUGCUUCUUGGUUCAUACCAAAACCAGGGAACUAAAGUAUCAGCAAGGGCCCCUGGAGGUUGCUCUCAUGUGAAUGUCCAAAGCACCAGAGCAGUGUUGUCCAAUACAUUCUGUGAUGAUGCCGUGUAUACAGUGACGUGCCCUGUCUAUGCACUGACCAAUACAGGGUAGCUACUGUGCCCUUGGAAUGUGGCUGGUGAGACAACAGGACCGAAGUUUUGGCUGUAAUCAUUUUAAUUAAUUAAAAUUGCCACACAUGGCUCAUGGCUACAA